rnacentral:lncRNA from 1 species
CUAGUUUAAAAUAUUAAAAUUUAGACAAACAACAAUCUGAAAAGAAAAAAAAAGGCUCUAUUAAAGUUUUAGCAACACAAAUUUACAAAGAAUUACAAGCUACAGUUCAAUUCUCUCUAUUAAAGUUUUGGCAACAUAAAUUUAAAAACAAUUACAAGUUACGAUUCAAUGCAAUUAUGUUUCAAUUUUUUUACGAUUUAGUUCAUUCCAUUAGUUUAAAAUUAGAGAGAGAGAGAGAGAGAGAGAGAGAGAGAGAGUUGACCUGAAGGUUAGAGAAGCUUGCAAUUUUUUGGGUUGGAAUUGAAACUAGAGGAGAAAGAGAUGCAGAUCAAUCGAAGCAGAACGAGAUAUUGAGUUGGAAAUUUAAAAGAAGCUUUUUUUACCUGACAUGCUUUGGUUGUUGGCAAAACCUCCUUCAAUAUCUUCGUCGGCUAGUAGCAACAAGGUUCUAUCGCUCAUUCACUUCCUUUUUUUUUGUCAUUCAAAUCUCAGAGCAAUCUAAAAACUAAAAAUUGGAUAGUAUCCAUAGCUAGAUACUUUUCAACCCAACUAUCUCUAUAUUUAAUGUAAGGGUGGAAUUUUUCAAUCAGUUUUUUCUUCUAGAAAAAUAUAUUAUAACCAAUGAAAUAUAGUCAGUGACCUCUUGAUCAUAUUGCAAGAGAGUGAGAUUACAUGCUUUGAAAAUCAUCCCCAUCCUAACUCAUUCAAUGAAACAGAUCACAACACAGGCCAAUAUAUAGGUUGUAAGGGCGACAUUUUUCAAUUAGUUUUUUCUUCUAGAAAAGUAUAGAAUAACUAGCCAAGCAAGAGAGUAAGAUUCCAUACUUUGAAAACCAUUCCUAGCCUAAGUCAUUUAAUGAAACACACCACAACAUAAACCUAUUAAGGAAAGAGAAAUACUAAGUUUACGAUUGAAAAAGAAUUGUAAUUCCUACCAUCUCUUAUCCAAAUACUAAUUCCUAUUUGGUUUAAAAACAAAAAAUGACAAUGAUAAAACAGUAGAUAAAAAUUAACUUUCAUAUGACAGUGUUACAGGAUGAUAAUUCAAUUUGGAUUGUAAAAUACUUCAACAGAGAAAGUUAUAAAUGAAGGCACUUGCAUUAAACAUUGGGUAUUGAAUGAAAAUAGAACCAAUUUUCGUUUUGCUUAUUAAAAAUAGCUUUUGAAUAAGAAUAUUGUAGAAUUACAGUUUAUUUUCGAUUGUAGAUCUAGCAUCCUUUUUCAAAAAAAGCAAAUAAACAAAAGACUACAUAUGAAGGCGAAGGUUCUCUUAUUAGAUAUCAGGUAUUGAAUGAUAAAAAAAAAAAAAUAGAUUAUAGUUUUAUCUGAAAUAGCAGAUCCAUAUCUAUAUAUCAUCUUAAGUAAUUUACAAAUAUCAAACAAUUUUUGUUUGUUUGGCUUGGUACAACUAUUCAAUUCUUACUCAUAGUCACAAUAUUCUACAUUUUUUUUUUAGAAACUCAUGAAUAGUUCACGUAUUUUUUAUUGUUCAAAUAUUUUGCCAAAUCUUUCACUAACCUGCAGAGAUUGACCAAAUGAUCAUAGACUACGAAUAAUCGAUGAAUAUAUUGUUUUCUGACUUUUUGACUGCACAGAAAUUUUCUACUUGUUUUACUAUUUCAAGAAAGCUAUUGCCAAAAUUUUCUAUAUUCUCCUAUUAUCACCAAAACUUAUUAAAACUUGUGAUAAAUUAUGUUACAAUCGGCCAUAAAAUCAAAAGGUAUAUAACAAAAGAAAUACACAAGAAAGGAAAAAUCCUAGACAUUUUCACUUGGUAAAGUAAAGGAAGCCGCUACUAUCAAAUCUAAGAACCAAGCAAUUAAGCAAACAAAAAGCGAUUUCAAGAUCAUAUUUUGCAUGCAAAUUCGAACAGAUCUUAGGGUUACGAGGAUUAAACCAACUACCUAUUCAGUGAUUACAGCGAAAAACCAAAAAAUUAAUAAUACAAAAAAAGGAAGAAAAACGACUUUAAUCUUAUGCAAGGCAUAAAUAAUAGGGUUAAUUGCAUACAGCUUCAUGUAAACAUAGAGAAUUGCAAAUAUAUCCCUACAAAGUUUAACUUUCUUAUGUGUUAUCCCUGCAAAAGUCCUUAUGUUUUCAAAAUAUCACCCGACCAUUUAAAUUUUAAUAUUUUAAACUAGAACCACGAGCUCGGAGGUGCCAAUAACCCCGUAAUCACUCAAUUUGUGGUUAGUUUGAUUUUCUAAGCCCUAAUUCUUUUUUAAUGUUGUUUUUCAUUUGCUUUGUUCAUUAAUUCUUCGCCCUAAUGUCUCGAUUAGUGGUUGGUUUGAUCCUUUUAGCCCUAAGAUCUGUCCUAAAUCUGGUUGUCUCAAUAGGAUCUAGAAGAACCUCGUCAGUUAGAAUUGCUAAGUCUUUGGAAAACCAUAUACCGUGAAAGAUGCCAAAACGUAUCUUGGGACAACAAAGUAAUCCCCACGAAGUAGGGAAGACUAGAAGGCAGUGAUUGGAGUGACUCUAGAUGAAGAGUACAGGCUUCUGUUUUCUGUUCGAGCACUUCGGGGAAUCGAGACGUUAGGGCGAAGAAUCAGCGAACUAAGCAAGCAAAAAGGAACAUAAAAAAAAAAUAAUUAGGGCUUAGAAAAUCAAACUAAACACGAAUUGAGUGAUUACGGCAUAAUUGGCACCUCCGAGCUCGUGGUUCUAGUUUACAAUAUUAAAAUUAAAACAAACAACAAUCUGAAAAGAAAAAAAAAGGCUCUAUUAAAGUUUUAGCAACACAAAUUUAUAAAGAAUUACAAGCUACAGUUCAAUUCUCUCUAUUAAAGUUUUGGCAACAUAAAGUUAAAAACAAUUACAAGUUACGAUUCAAUCCAAUCAAGUUUCAAUUUUUUUACGAUUUAGUUCAUUCCAUUAGUUUAAAAUUAGAGAGAGAGAGAGAGAGUUGACCUGAAGAUUAGAGGAGCUUGAAAUUUUUUGGGCUGGAAUAGAAACUGGAGGAGAAAGAGAUGGAGAUCGAUCGAAGGAGAACGAGAUGUUGAGAUGGAAAUUUAAAAGAAAAUUUUUUACCUGACAUGCUUUGGUUGUUGGCAAAACCUCCUUCAAUAUCUUCGUCGGCUAGUAGCAACAAGAUUCUAUCGCUCAUUCACUUCCCUCUUUUUUUGUCGCUCAAAUCUCAAGGCAAUCUAAAAACUAAAAACUGGAUAGCAUCUAUAGCUAGAUACUUUUCAGCCCAACUCCCUCUAUAUAUAAUGUAAGGGCUGAAUUUUUCUAUCAGUUUUUUCUUCUAGAAAAGUAUAUUAUAACCAGUGAAAUAUAGUCAGUGACCUAUUGAUCAAUGAUCAAAUUGCAAGAGAGUGACCUAACUCAUUCAAUGAAACAGAUCACAACAUAAGCCUAUAUAUAGGAUGUAAGGGCGGCAUUUCUAACUAAUUCAAUGAAAUAGAUCACAACAUAAGCCUAUAUAUAGGAUGUAAGGGCGGCAUUUUUCAAUCAGUUUUUCUUCCAGAAAAGUAUAGAAUAACUAGCCAAGCAAGAGAGUAAGAUUCCAUACUUUGAAAACCAUUCCUAUCCUAACUCAUUUAAUGAAACACACCACAAAAUAAGCCUAUUAAGGAAAGAGAAAUACUAAGUUUACGAUCAAAAAAGAAUUGUAAUUCCUACCAUCACUCAUCCAAAU